ACUAAUUAUUGGUUUUCAAUUGAAUUUUAGAAAUGAGGUAAUUUUUUUGAGUGGUUGGAAUAUUUACGUAAACCAAUUUAAUGAUUGCCAAAUUUUUAAUGGUUUCUGGUAAUAUACACAUUGAGAGAAGUGUGGCUCCAAAUUGUGAGGAGGUUUGAGUUGUAGAAUUUGACUCGGAAGCUUAGAGAGGCUUUAUUAUUAGUUCAUUGCUUUUUUGAGAAGUUUGAGGUCCGCCCAAAUACAGUCUCAUGGACUUGUGUUCUUGAGACUCUCUCUCUCCCUCUCUCCCUCUCUCUCUCUCUCUCUCUCUAUAUAUAUAUAUAUAUAUAUAUAUAUAUAUACAGAAAUGUGAUCUCAUUCGCUGCUGCUGCUGCUGCAGGAAAGCUAGCAUAUAGAUUGAAGAAAGCAGGGGAAAGGGUGAGAUUUUGCUUGCUUUUGUUGCAAUGUGAUAGAUGCCUUUACAAAGAGAGAGUAUUAGGAUAUUGAAAUUUGCAUUAUCUGUAGAGCUGAAUUGAAGAUAAUAUUGAUCCAAGUUUCUGGCAACUGAUUUGACAUCCCAGGGAAAAAGUGUUCAUUGUGAUAAGGACUCAAAAGGUUUGUGAAUAUGUUGUUGAAUUUUGGCUCUUGACGAUGCUGUUUUACCAAGUACCAAUACUAUCUGUUGAUUCUACUGGUAUGGAUUAAGAUUUAGAUUUAUUUUGGAGAAUUUGAAAGUUGUAGCCUUUUCUUGUCUUGCAAUUAAAGUGUCUAUGUUUCAGAAGGACUUCCUAUGAAAUGCAUGCUGUAUAAUUUUUCUUUCAAAAGACAGCAUUUAUUCUUCCUUUUGGCUGUAUCCUACUACCCUGGGUUAAACUGGAACACCGUGGAAGAAAAUUUAGAACAGCCCUUUAUUUGAAUGUUGUGUUAUAGAUCUGCUGGAAAAGCAUUGUAUCAAUUGCUUGAAUAUAUAUAACUAUCACAGGGGCUUAGUAAAUUGAUAUUGACUCCUAGGGAUAUGAAUAAAGUUAUUACUUUGCGAAUGUAGAGGAGGGUGUACCGGUGAGUGCAGUCAGAGGACAUUGUUCAGGGAUCUUACUGCAGUACUUGUGCACAUGUGAUUUAUUUUCUUUCCAUUUUUUCUCGUUUGGCUUGAAUUGUUUCUUAGUUUAUCCUUUUGUCCUUUCUGAAUCUCCCAAAAAGAGAGAUUGUCUCGUUCACAAAAGGUCUUUCCUUGGGCUUUUGCUAUCAUUCCAGAUACUGAUGGCAGCAGGUGAUACAUUUAGGGCAGCUACCAGUGACCAGUUGGAGAUAUGGACUGAAGGAAAUGGGUGUGAGAUUGUUGUGGCUGAAGGAGAGAAGGCCUAAUCAUCAUCAGAUAGACAACUUCUUUAGCUUUUUCCAAUCUUUAAAAGUUUGAAUACUUGGCAUAGCUACUAACAUAUGAUCUUGAAGUGUUUUUCAAAUAGUUCUUUCUCAGGCUGUAAAGAAAGGGAAAGAACAAGAAUUUGAUAUUGUUUUGUGUGGCACAUCUGGACGUCUCCACACUAAUUACAGCCUCAUGGAUGAGUUAAUAGCAUGUAAGAAAGCUGCGGGCAAAAUAGUUCUUGACGCGCCUGAUGGAAGCUGUGAUCAUGAUGUUUUAUAUUCAAGUCAUUACUUCUAUACCAUUUAUUUCUGUCUCCAACACCAUCUUUCAUGGUUGUUCGAAUAACUGGUUUCAUUUUGACAGAACUCGAUGGUUCUGCUAGAGGCGGCUGUGUGGCCAGUGUAGAUGACGAGCUUGCCAUCCCUGUAAAGUUCGUGGGUGUUGGAGAAGGUGUAGAAGACCUCCAACCCUUUGAUGCUGAGGCUUUUGUUAAUGCCAUAUUUUCAACGAGACGUUCAUGUCGCAGAUGAUGUGAAUAUGCAAGUCCGAUUUAAUAAUGUUGCCAGAGAUGCUUCAUCAUUUGAAACAGUGAUUGCAGUUGGCCAUGAUGCAUAUCGAAUUUCCAAGCAAAGAAGGAAUCUUAUCAAAGAAACAUGCAUCUAAAUGCACAACAUUACAGAGGACGAAAAGGCAACAGCAGCAGCUGCAGAACGCAGAAGUGAACACUAAAUGACCCACAAAAAUAUUAAAUUGGUUUUGUAAGAUUAUUAUGUCCUGUUUUGAGUUCAA